rnacentral:rRNA from 1 species
CUCAAAGAUUAAGCCAUGCAAGUGGUUAUAUUAACCCGACAGGUUAAACAAGUGUACUAUACUAUACUAAUAUAAUAUACAUUAUAUAUCACUUACGCAACUGCAGACAGCUGCUUAAUACAGUCACACUUGUCUUGACUUGGCACAAAAUACACUAUAUAUAUAUAUAUAUUUAAUUAUUGGAUAACUCAGGGAAAGUUUGGCUAAUACGUACAAAAGUUAAUCCAAUACACACACACACACACAAUAUACUCAGCGCACAUAUUGGUUAAAUUUUUAAUAAUAUUUUAUAUAUUAUUAAUAUUUAAAAUUUAAACGCAACAUGAGAGACAAUAUGUACCCAGUACAUUUAAUGUACACUGAGCAGACUUUGUAGAAUUUAUUAUCUACGAAGCAUGUCAUACAAGCAUCUAUAGCAUCAAGUCACAGGGUUGGCAAGUGUAUUUUUGAACCUUCAAAGCAGUUACGCAUACGGAAGAGUAGUUUCUGAUCCCAUAGAAGGAGCACCGUACAAUGAGAGACCGCUCUUAGUUCUAAGGAACGCAGCAGGCGCGUAAAUUGUCCAAUAUUAGUACACUAUAAUUAUUUUUACUGACAAUAAUUAAUAUAAUUACAUAUUUAAUAUAUCCUUGUCACAAUAUAAUACAAUGAGACAGUGACAAGCUGUAACGGUUGAGUAUAUUUAAUGACGAGUGUCUGGCAUUGCCGUCUAUUUUCGAAUGGGCUUGGCAGUUCGCCGACACUUUGUGUGCUCAAUUGGAAUGCGGUGAGUUUAAGCAACUCAGAACCUAAUGUAUUUAUUUAUUUAUAUAAAUACGUUGUAUCUGAAUUUCAAGUGGAGGGCAAGUCUGGUGCCAGCAGCCGCGGUAAUACCAGCUCCACUGGCCUAUACAAUCAUUGUUGCGGUUAAGAGGCUCGUAGUUGGAUUGAACACAAAUUAAUAUAUUUAAUAUAUAUACUAUUUUAACUGACAUACUGUUACACACGCAUAUAUAUAUAUAUUAUUAUUUAUUAACAUCAACACUGUGAACAAAUCUUAAUGUAUCAAAUAUGUCUAUUUUGAAUGUGCAUUGAAUGUCUUAUCAUGGAAUGUUGCCACUUUGCACGUGAGAGGAUUUAAAAUUUAACAUAUAUUGAUAUACACAUACAAAUUAAUAAUAUAUGGCAGCGAUAAUAUAUGCGCUGCGAUUAAAUUUUAAACAGUAUUUUAAUAAUAUGUCGAUGGGGAUAGUUGGAGUCAAGAGUACUGUUGGGCGAGAGGUGAAAUUCAUUGACCCUAGCAUGACUACCAAAAGCGAAAGCACUCGACUAGGCUACACUCUUUGUGAAUAUAAUAUAUAUUUAUACACACGCCAAAAAUAUAUAUUAUAUAUAUAAUACACUUUACAAUGAAGAACGAAGGUUGGGGGAUCAAAGAGGAUCAGAUACCCUCGUCGUCCCAUUAAUUACAUCAAACGAUGGGCUCUCAAUUGCAUUUUAUAUAAUAAAUUGUAAUUUAUGCCCUCAACCUAUAAAAUAUUAACUUGGCUUGAGCUUAGUAAUAUUUAUUUAUUACGCUCGCCUAAUCUAUAUUUAAUAUAUGGUCUCGAUGGACAUUUAUAUGAAUUUAUAUUUCAACUGCUGCGUGUAAGCAUAUAUAUUUAUUGAAAUAUAUAAAUUAUUUUUUGCGCGCACUUGAUUUUCGGNNCUUUGCGCUCAAAUUUAUUCUGGUGAGAUGUAAGCAGUCAUAGUUAUUAUUUAUUUAUCCAUAGCUCGCUAUUGUGAUAUAAUUAAUUAGUAAUUAUUAUUUAUUGUACUGUGAUGCACGUGUUAGGCACGCGCUUACUGCAGAAAUGUCUGAGACAUUUCCCUCCGGGGGUAGUAUGCACGCAAGUGUGAAACUUGAAGGAAUUGACGGAAGGGCACCACAAGAACGCGUGGAGCAUGUGGCUUAAUUUGACUCAACGCGGGAAAUCUUACCGGGUCCGGACACACUGAGGAUUGACAGAUAUAUUAAUUAUUAAUAAAUAUAUUUUAUUAAUAUUAGAAAGAUGCUAGUUCUUUCAUGAUUAUGUGAUAGGUGGUGCAUGGCCGUUCUUAGUUCGUGGAGUGAUCUGUCUGCUUAAUUGCGUUUCACUAAAGGUCUUAUAUAUUAUACAGUGUGUUGACACUUUGCAUUGACCCCUACUCAUUGAGUGGUUGCGUGUCUUUGUUAUACUGUCUCAUACUUAUUUAGGCCUUGAAAGCAACGAACGUGACCGCAACCUCUUGUUGCCUUAUACAAUAAAUAAUAUAUAUGUAUCUCUGCAUACAAUAUAUUAUUAAUAAAGGCUAUUUUAUUAUUAAACUAGAGGGACCGCUGUGAUCUUUUUUAAACCAGAGGAAGGUUGCGGCAAUAACAGGUCUGUGAUGCCCUUAGAUGUUCCGGGCUGCACACGUGCUACAAUGAUUAUUGCAGUGAGCAUCUCAUUUAUAUUAACAGCUGUCUUGUACGUGUAUUUUUAUUGUAUUUUUAUAAUAUUAAUAAUUAUUACAUUGUACACAGCUAAGCCUGCUUCGAGAGGUUAGCGGGUAACCAAUUAGAAGUAAUGAUUUCUAUUUUAUUAUGCACAAUUAUAUGUGGCAUUUAUAUCCGGGUUAUAACUUUUGCUUAUAACUUUUGUGUGUAUAAAUGUAUUUUAUAUCCACAUGUGCAAUUAUUAAUUCAUGGUGGGGACAGACUAUUGUUAAUUGUUAGUCUCGGUCUUAACUAGGAAUGCCUUGUACGGGUCUUUGGUUCAACAAACCACCCGGAAUACGUCCCUGCCCUUUGUACACACCGCCCGUCGCUCUUACCGAUGAACUUCUCUGUGAGUCUAAUGGACUAAUUAUUAUUAUUUAAUAUAAUUUAUAAUGGAAAAUUAUACGAACAGGGUGGUUUAAAGGAAAGAGAAGUCGAACAAGGC